GCCUGGGUGGCUCAGUCGGUUGAGCAUCCGACUUCGGCUCAGGUCAUGAUCUCACAGUUUGUGGGUUCGAGCCCCGCAUCAGUCU
rnacentral:tRNA from 1 species